AGGGCGUGUGGUGGAUGCCUUGGCACUAGGAGGCGAUGAAGGACGUGGCAAGCUGCGAAAAGCCUCGGAGAGUCGCAAGCAGACUUUGAUCCGGGGAUUUCCGAAUGGGGAAACCUGGCAGGGGUAAUGCCCUGUCGUCCCUUACCUGAACACAUAGGGUUUGGGACGCCAACGGGGAGAAGUGAAACAUCUCAGUACCCCCAGGAAAAGAAAGUAAUAACGACUCCGUUAGUAGCGGCGAGCGAACGCGGAAGAGCCUAAACCAAUGUCAUGUAAGCUCGUGAGCGUUGUGGCAUUGGAGUCGUGGGAGUCACCGUUGCGGGUCACGGACCGCAGGUGGAGUUACCAAGCAUGGAUCUAGUAGAACAAGCUGGAAAGCUUGACCAUAGAGGGUGAAAGUCCCGUACACGAAAGGUUGCAUGCCUCCACUGGUGGCCACCCGAGUACCGCGGAACACGAGAAAUUCUGUGGGAAUUUGCGAGGACCAUCUCGUAAGGCUAAGUACUCCCUAGUGACCGAUAGCGGACCAGUACCGUGAGGGAAAGGUGAAAAGAACCCCGGUGAGGGGAGUGAAAUAGAACCUGAAACCGCAUGUUUACAAUCGGUGGGAGGACGUUGGCUUCGCGCCUGUCCGACCGCGUACCUUUUGCAUAAUGGGCUGGCUAGUUGUGGUAUGCAGCGAGGUUAAGCUUUUAGGCGAGCCGUAGGGAAACCGAGUCUGAAUAGGGCGUUUAGUUGCAUGCUGCAGACGUGAAGCCGGGUGAUCUAUCCUUGACCAGGGUGAAGCGUGGGUAAAACCACGUGGAGGCCCGAACCAGUGUCGGUUGAAAACGGCUUGGAUGAGUUGGGGAUAGGGGUGAAAGGCCAAUCAAACCCGGGAAUAGCUCGUUCUCCCCGAAAUAGCUUUAGGGCUAGCCUUUGGCGAUGGAUUGCGGAGGUAGAGCACUGGAAGGGCUAGGGGGCCUAUAAGCUUACCGAACCCUACCAAACUCCGAAUGCCGCAUAUCUUAGCCAGGGAGUCAGACUGCGAGGGAUAAGCUCCGUAGUCGAAAGGGAAACAGCCCAGACCGCCAGCUAAGGCCCCUAAGUGCAGGCUAAGUGGAAAAGGAUGUCGAGAUGCACAGACAGCCGGGAGGUUGGCUUAGAAGCAGCCAUCCUUUAAAGAAAGCGUAAUAGCUCACCGGUCGAGUGACUCGGUGCCGAAAAUGUACCGGGGCUAAGCCUGCCGCCGAAGCUGCGGAUUUAUAGGAACUCCGGUUCCUAUGAGUGGUAGGGGAGCGUUCUGUGUUGCUUGAAGUCAGACCGUAAGGACUGGUGGACGGCACAGAAGUGAGACUGCCAGCACGAGUAGCGAUAAAGAGGGUGAGAACCCCUCUCGCCGGAAGUCUAAGGUUUCCUGAGGAAGGUCAGUCCGCUCAGGGUUAGGCGGCCUCUUAGUCGAGGACGAAGGUCGUAGACGAAGAGAAGCAGGUCAACAUUCCUGCCCCGCCUGAAUAACGUUUGACCGAAGGGGUGACGCAGGAGGGUAGCUCAGCCUGCGAUUGGAAGUGCAGGUUGCAAGCAAGUAGCCGGGGGGACUAGGCAAAUCCGGGCCCCCAUUUCAAACGGUGAGAUGUGAUGCCGAGGUCUUCGGACCGCAAAGUGAGUGAUCCCACGCUGCCAAGAAAAACCUCGUAGGGAGUAAUUCAGGCGACCGUACCGCAAACCGACACAGGUAGACAGGGAGAGAAUCCUAAGGCGAACGAGUUAACACUGGUUAAGGAACUCGGCAAAUUGGCUCCGUAACUUCGGGAGAAGGAGCGCCCCGUUAGCGUGAAGGACCUUGCGUCCGGAGCGUGAGGGGGUCACAGAAACCAGGCCCAGGCGACUGUUUACUAAAAACACAGGUCUCUGCAAAGUCGAAGUCGACGUAUAGGGACUGACGCCUGCCCGGUGCCGGAAGGUUAAGAGGACGGGUUAGCCCUCGGGCGAAGCUCAGAAUUGAAGCCCCGGUAAACGGCGGCCGUAACUAUAACGGUCCUAAGGUAGCGAAAUUCCUUGUCGGGUAAGUUCCGACCCGCACGAAUGGCGUAACGAUCUGGGUGCUGUCUCGACCAGUGGCUCGGCGAAACUGAAGUGCCGGUGAAGAUGCCGGCUACCCGCAGCUGGACAGAAAGACCCCGGCACCUUUACUACAACUUAGUACUGGGUUUUGGUAUGUCGUGUGCAGAAUAGGUGGGAGGCUUUGAAAUUGGGUCGCUAGACUCGGUGGAGCCACCGGUGAGAUACCACCCUCCUCAUAUCAAAACUCUAACCCAGGUCCGUUAUCCGGAUCGGG
rnacentral:rRNA from 1 species